rnacentral:rRNA from 1 species
UACGUAGGGUGCAAGCGUUGUCCGGAAUUAUUGGGCGUAAAGAGCUCGUAGGCGGUCUGUCGCGUCGGCUGUGAAAACUCGGGGCUCAACCCCGAGCCUGCAGUCGAUACGGGCAGACUAGAGUGCUGUAGGGGAGACUGGAAUUCCUGGUGUAGCGGUGAAAUGCGCAGAUAUCAGGAAGAACACCCGUGGCUAAGGCGGUUCUCUAGUACGGUACUGACGCUGAGACGCGAAACGUGGGGAGCGAACAGG